GCGGCAGGCUUAACACAUGCAAGUCGAACGGGCACUUCGGUGCUAGUGGCAGACGGGUGAGUAACACGUGGGAACGUACCUUUCGGUUCGGAAUAAUUCAGGGAAACUUGGACUAAUACCGGAUAAGCCCUUCGGGGGAAAGAUUUAUCGCCGAUAGAUCGGCCCGCGUCUGAUUAGCUAGUUGGUGAGGUAAUGGCUCACCAAGGCGACGAUCAGUAGCUGGUCUGAGAGGAUGAUCAGCCACACUGGGACUGAGACACGGCCCAGACUCCUACGGGAGGCAGCAGUGGGGAAUAUUGGACAAUGGGCGAAAGCCUGAUCCAGCCAUGCCGCGUGUGUGAUGAAGGCCUUAGGGUUGUAAAGCACUUUUGUCCGGGAAGAUAAUGACUGUACCGGAAGAAUA
rnacentral:rRNA from 1 species